AUUGAACGCUGGCGGAAUGCUUUACACAUGCAAGUCGAACGGCAGCACGGACUUCGGUCUGGUGGCGAGUGGCGAACGGGUGAGUAAUGUAUCGGAACGUGCCCAGUCGUGGGGGAUAACGUAGUGAAAAUUACGCUAAUACCGCAUACGAUCUAUGGAUGAAAGCGGGGGAUCGCAAGACAUCGCGCGAUUGGAGCGGCCGAUAUCAGAUUAGGUGGUUGGUGGGGUAAAGGCUCACCAAGCCCACGAUCUGUAGCUGGUCUGAGAGGACGACCAGCCACACUGGAACUGAGACACGGUCCAGACUCCUACGGGAGGCAGCAGUGGGGAAUUUUGGACAAUGGGAGAAAGCCUGAUCCAGCCAUUCCGCGUGCAGGAUGAAGGCCCUCGGGUUGUAAACUGCUUUUGUACAGAACGAAAAGGUUUCUACUAAUACUAGGAGCUCAUGACGGUACUGUAAGAAUAAGCACCGGCUAACUACGUGCCAGCCGCCGCAGUAA
rnacentral:rRNA from 1 species